GACGAACCGUGCAAACGUUACUCGGAUUCACUGGGCGUAAAGCGCACGUAGGCGGCUUUCUAAGUCAGGGGUGAAAUCCUGGAGCUCAACUCCAGAACUGCCUUUGAUACUGGAAGGCUUGAGUCCGGGAGAGGUGAGUGGAACUGCGAGUGUAGAGGUGAAAUUCGUAGAUAUUCGCAAGAACACCAGUGGCGAAGGCGGCUCACUGGCCCGGUACUGACGCUGAGGUGCGAAAGCUAGGGUAGCAAACGGG
rnacentral:rRNA from 1 species